GAAAUGUGAUAAGUAGUGUGAAUUGCAGAAUUCAGUGAAUCAUCGAAUCUUUGAACGCACAUUGCGCCCUUUGGUAUUCCUUAGGGCAUGCCUGUUUGAGCGUCAUUUAAACCCUUAAGCUUAGCUUGGUGUUGGGCGUCUGUCCCCCCUACUACGUGGGCGGGGACUCGCCUCAAAUUGAUUGGCGGCUGGUACGUUGGCUUUGAGCGCAGCAGAAACGCGAACUCGGGCCCUAGCGAGCUGGCUCCUACAAGCUAUACUCCUAAUUUUGACCUUGGAUUAGGUAGGGAUACCCGCUGAACUUAA
rnacentral:misc_RNA from 1 species